rnacentral:lncRNA from 1 species
AUGCAUUCUCCUCCACCAGUUUCCUCCAAGAACUGGCCACCCUCCUCUCCCUCUGGGGAUCCCCAGCACGGGGCCACCGAGCCCUUCACCUGCUGCACGGUGCGGGGCUGCCAAAGCCACAGCUGCCCUUGGCCUGUUUGCUGCCACACAGCUCAAGCAGCAUUUGCUUCAUUUCCUGUGUCCGUGGGAGGACUCGCUGUCGCGCUGACGAGGGGCACAGCUCCCUGCAGCUCCAUUUCCAAAGGCCACCACCGGAACUACUGAACAUUUAUUUCUAUUGAAUCCAGCUUAGAAGUUAUGAUCUGAGAAAGCAGGAGACAGGACAGUAUGUUCCGUGGCACCGGCUCUUCCCCACCAGCGCUCAGCUGAGACACGCUGGCCUUUGAAAUAUCAUCUUUAUUCCUAUCUUAGAAGAACUAAAAUAAAGAGAUUGACUCUUCCACCUGCUUGAUUUGCUUCUGCUGUUUAAAUAAGGUACAUAAAUAUCAGUCAGGUGGCUGCCCUGUGUAAGUUUUGGGGCUGUGUGUUUAAACACCCUGCACUGUUUGUGCUACCGGCUGUGGGAGCUGAAUUUCCUCCCCAGGUGCAAAAUAAAGUGCUGCUAUUACAUGAUUUUCCUGUUGCUAGAGAGGCACACACAUGAAUCUUCCUCCCUCGCUGCCUGUGCAUGAACACUGUCUUAUUAUGCAAAUACUAUGAGUAUUAGACAAAAAGCACUGAAGAAAGCCAGUGGAGCCAGCAGUCUAGAUGGAGUGAAGCAUAUGCAGCAGGGGCUGUGGGGAUUGAUGGUCCCCAGGUUUGCUUUAGGUUCACUUUAUCAGCAAGAAGUACCGAGCAAGAGGGAGUUGCAUGGGGCUGGGGACAGCUGCAGCCCCCAGGGACAUCGGGGAGAUGCCCAACACACCAGCCCUUGGCUACAGAAUCCUGCACCAGGGUCACUGCACAGCUGAGCUCCCCCAAGCAAACCCCAAGCUUGCACAAGGGAGCUGGGCUUGCUCCGGGACAGGGGACGGGACUGCUG